rnacentral:pre_miRNA from 1 species
AGAGGGAUAGCUGGGUCAAAUCAUGGUUCCAUUCCAAGUUUAUGAGGAAUCUCCAUACUACUUUCCAAAGUGGUUGAACCAAUUUGCAGUCUCACCAGCAAU